GGAACAUCUGAGGCCCUCAAGUGGACAACAGCCCAUCAGAACAGAACUGUGGAGAAGUGAGGCAUAUAUAUGGAGCCUGAGGCCCGUUGGUGUUUCCUGGGGGACCCGGAAUGCAACAAGAGGCAGAGCGUGGAGGGAGCUGGAGGUGACGAAGCCUGGAGAAGGGAAAACUGAGGCCUAAAGACACGGAGUGAGCCAGAAUUCGAAUGUGCAAGGACACCUGGAGGAGAGGGCGACCAGGCAAAGGCUUAGAGGAGUCUAAUUUAGCCACCAGGUGUCAGGGGACAAUGUACAAGCAGGGAAGGAUGAACUACAGCCUGGAGUUGGCGGUGUGUGUGCGUGCAUGUCUGUAUGUGUGUGUGGGGGCGCACACUGCAGGGGGCAUGCUGUGCUGUGGAGGAAAUUGUGUGUCAUCUAUUUAGCCAGAAGCUCUGUCUCUUGUUGCCCUCACCCUCCUCAUCCACACUGCACACAGUAGGCGCUCGGUUCAUGUCCCUGAUGAUUAUCAGAGUGUGGUGAUCUAAGUGCGCCAGGAUAAGAAGGCAGGGUGUCGGGGAGGGUGUUUCCGGCAGGGAAUGCAGUCUGGCACGGGUGCAGAAGUUUGUGAAGUUUAGAGAACAGAAGGUUCUGUGUGGUUGGAAUAUGAAUUUGGGGGGUCAGGAUUGAGAAUGGAUAACCAUGGGAGCAGAGUAUACAAUAGCAUGGCUGUUAGACCAUGAAGGCUUUCCUGGGCCCAGGGGGGUCUGUGUGAGAGAGACCCCCAGGCCCCUGCAGCAUGAUCAUAGAGGCGUGGAUGGACCCAGGUUGAGGGCUCCUGGGGUCAUCCCCAGGCUGGGUGGGAAGCUACAGUCACACGGGACAGAUCAGCCACCCCCAGCCUCACUUAGGUCUUGGCCCCUUCACACCUACACAGCCAGCCUGCCCCUGCUUAGGGCAAAAUAAGCAAGAUCUAGAAAGCUCCCGAGAUACAAAGGGUUUCAGAUGGGCAGGACAAUACCUUGAUUCUAUUUUACCUAGGAGAAGGCCUCUCCCAUGGCCUGAGGCUCUGGAGGAGCCAAGGGAGCAACCAGGCUGGGCCUCAUCCCUCAGGAACAACAUUCACUACUUGUAAAAUCUGCAUCCAAUUCAACUAACUCUCCGCAUCAACCUGUGAGGUUGGCUCACAGCAGUGAAGUGACUUGUCCAGAGUCGCACAGCAUGUGAGUAAUUUUGAGAACCCAGAUUCAUUCCCAAGACUGCCCAUACCCUCCACUCAGCCCUCCAUGCUCUGCGCUCCUUUGAUGGAACAAGAACAAAACUCAGUGGUUCCCAAAUUAGAUGACCGCUAUUUUCCUGUUAUCCCUGGCUUCAAAGUCACAGGCUUUGGGGACCUUUGCUGAUUCUUUUUUGAGGCUCAAUGUUGGGGGCUAUUCCAUCAUCAGAAGCCAGCUCCCCCUCCAUGUUUAAUUCAUCUCAAAGUCAGUGUCCCGAGGCCAGUGGGAAGCCUCCUACUGUCACACUCCUAGUGAGAACUUGGCCUUUGCCUGGCAAUCACAGCCAGGGCCCCACUCUGCCAAGCCUGAUUCGAUUCUCCAGUUUGCCCCACCCCUUCUUUGAUUAGUGCUGGCUCCUGAUGGACUAUGACCAACUCAUGCAGAUACACGCUGUCCUUCUUCAGUCCUCAGGACUUGGGUUCUUGCUGGAGACUCUCCAAGCACCCUUCCUUCUCCGUGAUAUACGUGGGCUGUUGCUCAGAUAACAAGGUGAAGAAGUGAAUGGGUUUUUACCACCAUCAAGAUGACAAUGAGAAGCCUCUUCUCCUAAGUCUCUAUGCUCAGCUCUUUUUAAAAAUUGAAGUAAAGAUGGACACAGUGGAGCAUACCUGUGACUCCGGAGGCUGAAGCAGGAAGAUUGAAAGUUUGAGGCCAGCCUCAGCAACUUAGUAAAACUCUCAGCAACAUAACAAAUAAAAAAAAAUAAGAUAAAAAGGGUUGCUGGGCUGGGGAUGUGGCUCAAGCGGUAGCACGCUCGCCUGGCAUGCAUGCGGCCCGGGUUCGAUCCUCAGCACCACAUACAAACAAAGAUGUUGUGUCCGC